rnacentral:pre_miRNA from 7 species
GUCUCGGUCUCUCGGGUGGUCACGACAAUCCCGGACGAGCCCCCAAAUGAAAGACCCCCGAAGGGAGACCCUCACUCAAGCCUCGGGAUGUGGCGCGGACCCAAGAGAGACGCGGAGACCG